AUUGAACGCUGGCGGCAGGCCUAACACAUGCAAGUCGAGCGGCAGCGGGAAAGUAGCUUGCUACUUUUGCCGGCGAGCGGCGGACGGGUGAGUAAUGCCUGGGGAUCUGCCCAGUCGAGGGGGAUAACUACUGGAAACGGUAGCUAAUACCGCAUACGCCCUACGGGGGAAAGCAGGGGACCUUCGGGCCUUGCGCGAUUGGAUGAACCCAGGUGGGAUUAGCUAGUUGGUGAGGUAAUGGCUCACCAAGGCGACGAUCCCUAGCUGGUCUGGGAGGAUGAUCAGCCAAACUGGAACUGAGACACGGUCCAGACUCCUACGGGAGGCAGCAGUGGGGAAUAUUGGACAAUGGGGGAAACCCUGAUGCAGCCAUGCCGCGUGUGUGAAGAAGGCCUCCGGGUUGAAGAGCACCUUCAGCGAGGAGGAAAGGUUGGUAGCUAAUAACUGCCAGCUGUGACGUUACUCGCAGAAGAAGCACCGGCUAACUCCGUGCCAGCCGCCGCAGUAACAC
rnacentral:rRNA from 1 species